CCAGGAUUGCCUCAGUAAGGGCGACUGAAGUGGCAAUAGCUCAUGAUGUGAAUCUGCGUAAGCCGAAUUGUGGUCUCACUUGUGUUAGGGGCUGGGCCAAGUCCGUUGGAACACGGCAGCAGAGAGGGUGAGACUCCCGUUUGCCUGGCCCAUGGAACAAGUGUUGUUGAGUCGAGUUGUUUGGGAUUGCAGCUCUAAGUGGGUGGUAAAUUCCAUCGAAAGCUAAAUACUGGUGGGAGACCGAUAGCGUACAAGUACCGUGAGGGAAAGAUGCAAAGAAGCGCGAAAGCGCUGUUAAAGAGUACCUGAACUUGCUGAAACGGAAGCGAAGGAAACCAGUGCCAGCUGCGUCAUACUUCCCUGACUGCUUGCGGUCGGGGCGCUGUGGCCAGUGUUGUCAGGCUUGGUUCAAGGAUGCGGAAGAGUGUGGGUAGAGUUGAUGCCCAUUGCCUGCGCAGCGUUGGACUGAGGUUGACGAAAUGGUUUUCUUUUUCCCGUCUAGAAACACGGACCAAGGAGUUUAACAUAUGUGCGAGUACAGAGGUGGCAAACCUCCGUGCGCAAUGAAAGUGACAGUGGCUGGAAUUUUUGCACAGUCCGCCGGCCUCAAUCCCUCGGGAGAAAUGGUCUGAGUGU
rnacentral:rRNA from 1 species